CUUUUACAGAGCUGGGGCAAAGCCCAAUCCAGGGCCACUCAAGGAGGCCUGUGAACAGGUGCUGGCCCAGAAACUGUUACUGUCCUGGGAUGAGGAACUACAGAAACGUACAAUUCAGACAAUUUCCAAUUUUAACCCAAUGAGAGGAAAGACUGUUUUUGCAAACUUGUGAUUGUUAGAGGGCCUGAGGCCCCCGAUCCUCAAGUACUGAAAUUCUCCAGACGGCGGGACUUUGGGACCUUGGAUUAAGGACCCACCCUACUCCACUAUGACCUCAUCUUAACUAAGUACAUCUACAAUGGCCCUAUUUCUAAAUAAAGUCACAUUCUGAGGUGAUGUAUUGGGCCCAAGUUAGGACUUCAACAUAUCUUUUUGGGGGACACAAUUCAUAAAACUGAUCUAUAGAUUUAACACAAUUCCAAUCAGAUCCCAGCAGGAAUUCUUGUAGAUACAGACGAGCUGAUUCUAAAGUUUAUAUGGAAAGGCCAAGAAACGAGAAUAGCUAAAAACAAUUUUGAAAACGAAGAAUAAAGUUGGAGGAAUGACAUGAUCUGAUUUUAGGACUUACAACAAGGCUUGCAGCAUUAAUCAAGAGUGUGGUGUUGUCAGAGGAAUGGACACAUAGAUCAAUGAAACAAUAGAGAGCCUAGAAAUAGACCCACAUAAAUAUAGCCAAUUGAUUUUGACAAAGGUGCAGAGCAAUUCAAUGGAGAAAGGAUAGUCUUUCCAACAGAUGGUGCUGGAACUACUGGACAUCUAUAUGCAAGAGAAGUGAACCUUGUCCUAAACCUCACACAUUAUACUAAAAGUAAGUCAAAAUGAGUUAUAGAUCUAAAUGUAAAAUCUAAAACUAUGAAACGUCUAGAAGAAAACAUAGGAGAAAAUCUUCAUGACCUGUGAUUAGUCAAAGAGUUCCUAAAACAUGACACUAAAACCGAGAUCCAUGAAAGAAAAUAACUGAUAAAUUGGACUUCAUCAGUUUAUCAAAAGACUCUCUGAAAGAUACUGUUAGAAGAACUAAAAG